ensembl:misc_RNA
ACAUGCUCUGAUUCACAAUUUAAAAAGAUCCCUCUAGCUGGAGCAUAAAUCCUGAAACAGACCUACUUUUCUCUUCAGCAUGUUAGGAAACACAUUAAAAUACAACCAUAAUCAAGCAACUCAAUCCUUAAAUUUUUCUCCUAGUGAGUAUCUGGAAAACAGGUGCAGAAAUGGAUCAUUUGAGACACCAUAGAAAUCUGGUUAAUCCUGCCUGCCUGCUUUCCUU